rnacentral:rRNA from 1 species
AACGUAGGUUCCGAGCGUUAUCCGGAUUUACUGGGCGUAAAGCGCGUUCAGGCGGUUUGGCAAGUCGGGCAUGAAAUCUCUCGGCUCAACCGGGAGAGGUUGUCCGAUACUUCCAGACUUGAGGGCAGUAGAGGGUGGUGGAAUUCCGGGUGUAGUGGUGAAAUGCGUAGAUAUCGGGAGGAACACCAGUGGCGAAGGCGACUUCCUGGCCUGUUCUUGACGCUGAGGCGCGAAAGCUAGGGGAGCAAACGGG